rnacentral:rRNA from 1 species
CAGUAGCCGCGGUAAUACGGAGGGGGCUAGCGUUGUUCGGAAUUACUGGGCGUAAAGGGAGCGUAGGCGGACAUUUAAGUCAGGGGUGAAAUCCCAGAGCUCAACUCUGGAACUGCCUUUGAUACGGGGUGUCUUGAGUGUGAUAGAGGUAUGUGGAACUCCGAGUGUAGAGGUGAAAUUCGUAGAUAUUCGGAAGAACACCAGUGGCGAAGGCGACAUACUGGAUCAUUACUGACGCUGAGGCUCGAAAGCGUGGGGAGCAAACAGGAUUAGAUACCCCCGUAGUCCCUGUCUCUUAUAC